rnacentral:rRNA from 1 species
AUGAACGCUGGCGGCAUGCCUUACACAUGCAAGUCGAACGGUAGAGGGGCAACCCUUGAGAGUGGCGAACGGGUGAGUAAUGCAUCGGAACGUGCCCAGUCGUGGGGGAUAACGCAGCGAAAGCUGUGCUAAUACCGCAUGUGAUCUGUGGAUGAAGGCAGGGGACCGCAAGGCCUUGUGCGAUUGGAGCGGCCGAUGUCAGAUUAUCUAGUUGGUAGGGUAAAAGCCUACCAAGGCGACGAUCUGUAGCUG